AGACGAUCAAGAAUUUCGUGCUGGAUGAUGGUGCACUUGUUGGAAUCAAGCAAUAGCUGCUGCGAUGUGGAAUGAGACAGUCUUCCCUUCUAUCUCUCCUCCUCCUCCUCCUCCUCCUGGCCACAGCUUUGGCAACAGAGACGCAUGGCUGCUGCAGAGUACUUCCAAUAACGCCUCCAUGGAACUUGAGAGACUGGUAAACUGUGGCAAGUUCUUCAAUGGUCUCCAGGAUAACUACGCCGGCGAGUUCUCGUUCCAUCGGCAUGUUUUCUCGCCA